CCCGCCGGCAGCCGCGGGCCCACGGCAGAGCGCGGCAGCCCCCGGCGCUCCGGUAGAGCCCGCCCGUAAACAGCCCCGGAGCGGCUGCCGCUGCAGGCCCCUCCGCAGACACAGGGCCCUCUCCAGCCGGCACCGCUCAGCCCCCGGCCCGGCCGGCACUCCUCGCUCGGCCGCUCGGUCGAGCUGCGGGUCACCGAAGGUCCCCUGAGGCCUCCCCGGAGCCCCCCGCCAGCCGAGCCCGGCCGGUCUCGGCCCCCGCGGGGGGUGAACGGGGAAGUCCUGACUUACCUGUCAUUACUUUCUACGCCAUCUUGGAUCCACUUGUCAACGUCCCCACAAAGCAUUGUGGGAAAGCCCUCCCCCGCCCUGCGCCCGGCCUGGCCCGGCCCGGCCCGGCCCGGCGGCCAGCGGGGCAAGGCGGAGAGCGGCGGGGCUCGGCGCUGCGACCGGGACCGGGGACACAGCCGGGGUCGGAACCGGGACCGGGGGCAGGACCCGGACCCGGGGCUCUGUUCGCGGCACGAUGGGGCAGGCGGCGGCUGGAGGAGGGCAGCCGCGGACCCCGGCCCACGGGGCUUCCCCUCAGGCAGCGGCGUGAGGAGCCCGUGCCGCGCCGCGGGGGCUGGGAACCGGCAACACCGGGGUGGGUUUUUUAUUCGUUGUUUUCUUUCUCUUUAUUUUCCUCGCCCCCUCCCCUUCCUUGGGAAUCGCGUCGCUGCCUCUGCACGCACGCAGCAGCCCCUCAGCGCGGGGCAGAGCUGCGCACACGCGUAGAGUCCCGCCGGUAAGCUGUGAGACAGGGUCCCGCUGUGCUGAAACGCGUGUUUGUAGCGGGUUUUGUACUGUUCUGAUGGGUUUGGGCGUAGUUUGUCUUCGGGGUUUUGGUUGAUUGAUUGGUUGGUAGUUGGUUGGUUGCUUAGUGUCUGCCCUUACAGACACUCGCAGCCCCCCGGGCCCACAGGCGGAGGCUGCAGCCAGGCGAUGGAGCAGUGCCUGUUGUACAUGGUGUUCUGCAGACCCACCUGCUCCUGCCCAAGGACUGAUGGUAACGUGGGUCUGGCUGCGCAGGAGUUCCAGAAACUGCUUUGCAUAACAGUUGUAUUUUCACAGGGUAAUCUUCCCUGUUAGCUGUGCGCUCCAGGGGUUUGGCAAUCGAUUGUUCGUACCUACACGGUUGUGCAGACUGGCUUCUCCAAGGCAAGGCUGUUGGGGAUGGUGCCUCUCGCUCUGCAGAGGCCAUCGCGCUUCAGGGCAAAGCGGCGCAGACUUAAAUCAGUCCACUUCUAAUUCGACUUUAUAAAUACAGUUGGGAGUGUAGUUCACUGUUCCACUGCCCUGCCUGAGGCCCUGCUGGAUGGGAGUGUGGUUGAUCCCCGUCUCAACCCAGGAGACUCCAUUGCAGGAGGACAGAAGCGUUUCUGCAGCCAUCAGCCUCCCUGCUGGUCCGUGGGAGCCCAAAGGACAUGAUCCAACAUGAUCUAGAGCUGCUUCCAUGAGCACUGUGCAAGGACCAGGAAGUUACAGUGAAUCAGCUAAAGGUGAAACCAUGUUUAGGAUGUAACUAACUGUGUGUCUCCUUCAGUCCAGGUUGCUGGAGUGGAAUUAGUUCUGUGAUUUUGGAGGUUGGAUGUUUGGUUUUCCUUAAUUUUCUUUUUUAAAGCAGUGGAAAAUAGGAUGAGUUUUAUGUGUGCAUGUAUCUAAAAAUACACAUACAUCCUCUGGAGUUCUGUUUGGGGUGAGGCACAAAUUUGCUGGGUUUAUUUUUGAUGUGAGCUCUCAUUAACUUUUAAAUCCAUUUGUUCUGACAGCAUUUCUUUAUGCUGCACUAGGAAAAAAUGGUGUAGCUGGUGACCAAGUUAUACAAGGAAGGAUUUGUUCAAUGACAGACACCAUUUUCAUUGCUGCCUGUCUCUGUUGUGUCAAAAAGCCUAGACUGAAAGUACUGAAAGGCAAAGCCUGCUGUCAAAGGAGGGCAGAAACAGCCCAGAAAGGAGCAGGGGAAAGACCACAGCAGCAGGGGAAUCCCCCGACUCCAAAAAAGUGCUGUGUAUAAAACACAGUAUUAUGGAGUCUCUGCCCUUCCACCCACUGCUUUUUAUGAUGUUACUUAAACUAAACCUCUUAGCCUCCAUAUGAAGUAGGUUUUACUUUAUUUUGUAGACUGGUUAACUGUAUUGCAUAAACCCCAAGUGGACAUGCCAGAGGCUAGAGAGCCAGCCACUCUAGCUGGGAUUGGCUGGCAAGCACUACU